CCCCACUAUGCUCAACCGUUAACAAAGAUGGGACCCCCACACCCCCAUCCGCCAGAGAAUUACAAGCAACACUCAAAACUCAAAGGACUUGACGGUGUCCCAAACCGACCUAGAGGAGCCUGUCCUAUAAUCGAUGCUCCACGCUACACCUUACCCCCCCUUGAAGCCAGUCUGUAUACCGCCGUCUACCAGUUCGCCUCAUGACAGACCAAUAGCGAACAAACCAGCCCACCACUUAUACGACAGGUCAAGGUGCAGCCAACGGGGGGGCAGAGAUGGGCUACAUUUUCUACCCUACUAGAAUACCACCACCCGCCAAAUGAAAUAUAGGCCCAAAGGCGGAUCUAGCAGUAAGCCAGGCAAGAACGCCUGACUGAAGACCUGCUCUGGGACGCGCACACACCGCCCCCCACUAUGCUCAACCGUUAACAAAGAUGGGACCCCCACACCCCCAUCCGCCAGAGAAUUACAAGCAACACUCAAAACUCAAAGGACUUGACGGUGUCCCAAACCGACCUAGAGGAGCCUGUCCUAUAAUCGAUGCUCCACGCUACACCUUACCCCCCCUUGAAGCCAGUCUGUAUACCGCCGUCUACCAGUUCGCCUCAUGACAGACCAAUAGCGAACAAACCAGCCCACCACUUAUACGACAGGUCAAGGUGCAGCCAACGGGGGGGCAGAGAUGGGCUACAUUUUCUACCCUACUAGAAUACCACCACCCGCCAAAUGAAAUAUAGGCCCAAAGGCGGAUCUAGCAGUAAGCCAGGCAAGAACGCCUGACUGAAGACCUGCUCUGGGACGCGCACACACCGCCC
rnacentral:rRNA from 1 species